GGGUCAGAGACUAAGUGACCCUGUCCCUGAGGUAUCCCAUAGGGAGAAACCAAAGGAGACACAGGAACAUAAAGAUAAACCCAAGGAGAAGAGGAUCCCUCAAGCCCUGACCUUUCUUCAGCUGUUUACACUGCUGAGCUGCGUCAAGGUGAAGAAAACACCCUUUGAUCCCUCCCAGAGUGGUGAUGGGAGAAAGGGAACAACGAUAAACUAUACAAACAACAAUAAUGACUCUGAUACUGGUGACGUGAAAAGGAUCAAGGACAAGAGUAAAGGAAAGGUUGGGGGAGAGAAACAUUGCAUUGAAUCUCAGGACCACAAAUGCAGAACGACACAGGAAAAAG